CCUACGGGAGGCAGCAGUGGGGAAUUUUGGACAAUGGGCGCAAGCCUGAUCCAGCAAUGCCGCGUGAGUGAAGAAGGCCUUCGGGUUGUAAAGCUCUUUUGUCAGGGAAGAAACGGCAGUUUCUAAUACAGAUUGCUAAUGACGGUACCUGAAGAAUAAGCACCGGCUAACUACGUGCCAGCAGCCGCGGUAAUACGUAGGGUGCAAGCGUUAAUCGGAAUUACUGGGCGUAAAGCGUGCGCAGGCGGUUUUGUAAGUUUGUCGUGAAAUCCCCGGGCUCAACCUGGGAAUGGCGAUGAAGACUGCAAGGCUAGAAUCUGGCAGAGGGGGGUAGAAUUCCACGUGUAGCAGUGAAAUGCGUAGAGAUGUGGAGGAACACCGAUGGCGAAGGCAGCCCCCUGGGUCAAGAUUGACGCUCAUGCACGAAAGCGUGGGGAGCAAACAGGAUUAGAUACCCUGGUAGUCCACGCCCUAAACGAUGUCUACUAGUUGUCGGGUUUUAAUUAACUUGGUAACGCAGCUAACGCGUGAAGUAGACCGCCUGGGGAGUACGGUCGCAAGAUUAAAACUCAAAUGAAAUUGACGG
rnacentral:rRNA from 1 species